GACGAACGCUGGCGGCGUGCUUAACACAUGCAAGUCGAACGGAAAGGCCCUGCUUGCAGGGUGCUCGAGUGGCGAACGGGUGAGUAACACGUGGGUGAUCUGCCCCUUACUUUGGGAUAAGCCUGGGAAACUGGGUCUAAUACUGGAUAGGACCAUGCUGUAGGUGGUGUGGUGGAAAGAUUAGUUUCGGUAAGGGAUGAGCUCGCGGCCUAUCAGCUUGUUGGUGGGGUAAUGGCCUACCAAGGCGUCGACGGGUAGCCGGCCUGAGAGGGUGGACGGCCACAUUGGGACUGAGAUACGGCCCAGACUCCUACGGGAGGCAGCAGUGGGGAAUAUUGCACAAUGGGCGCAAGCCUGAUGCAGCGACGCCGCGUGGGGGAUGACGGCCUUCGGGUUGUAAACCCCUUUCAGCCAUGACGAAGCCCUUGUGGUGACGGUAGUGGUAGAAGAAGCACCGGCUAACUACGUG
rnacentral:rRNA from 1 species